UGGCGGCUGUAGCGCGGUGGUCCCACCUGACCCCAUGCCGAACUCAGAAGUGAAACGCCGUAGCGCCGAUGGUAGUGUGGGGUCUCCCCAUGCGAGAGUAGGGAACUGCCAGACAU
rnacentral:rRNA from 1 species